CCCCGCCAGCGCAUAUAAGGUAAAAAGAAAAAGGUUUUUCCAGCUUCUGAGGAGCCUGCGAGGAGUUUUGCACCCAGGGCUCCCAUGCGGGCCGCUUCCAAAGGGCCUGCCCGGCGUCGUCGGGGUGCCGCUGGCGGGUUAUAAUGUACCGGGCACGUGGCCGUGUCCCCGCGGUGCCCCAGGGCUGGUGUGGGGUCGCAGGCUCAGCUCUGGCUGUCCCUGGGGUUUUGAAGCUGCUGAACACACGAGAGGAUGGUACAGCCCCCCGAAAUGGCCACCACGAGCGAUGGGCAGAGCUGAUGUACCACCACGCCGCCACAGGGGCACCACCGCAGGCCCUUUCCUGGGCACAGGCAGGGACAGGCCGUGGGCUUAUUUUGCCCUGCCCAGUCAUGCAGAGGGGGCUGGAGCCCAGGGACUUGAUCCCAGAGGAUGGAUGCCAGGGACUGGCUCCCAGGGACUGGAUCCCAGUGUACAGAUUGCAGGGCACGCUGCAGUGCCUCACAUCCCUCCUGCAGAAAGCACAGCAGCCCCUUCCCAGGGGCGUGCAGGGCGCCAGGCAGAGGCUCUGUGAAGGCAGGAGGGUCCCUGCAGCACCUCCCCUGGUUCUGGGUCCCUGUGGCUCUUGUCACACUUGGCCAGGGCUCAGGGCUGGCCUGGCCAUGGCUGGUACAGAGACAACGCCGUGCUGGCCAAGGCUGCUGCAAACUGUCUCUCCUGAGCAAUGGAUGCUGCAAUCUUGGGGCUCCCCAGGGCUCUUUCCCCCCAAAGAACAAGGGGCAGCAGUGGGGGGAGCCCAGCCCAGUGCAGGGGGUGGUUCCUGCCCCGGGUCCCAGCUGGGUGCGUGUGGCCGGGGGGGCCGGGCCGGAUGCAGGGGCUCACGGCAGAGAUGCAGCAUCUGCUUCUCAUCAGGCUGCUGGGGCUGUGAUAGAUGGUCUGUUUAUCAGCUUCAGCCCUGCUCAGGAUGUUAGUGUUCGCCUGAGAAGGAUAUUUUUGGGCUCGGUCGCUCCCUCUAUCCUCCCUCGCCUCCUGCUUCCCCCCGGAUCUUCGCUCUCCAGGCCAGGUGGGCCGAAGCCUUUCCAGACCCAAGGGUGGAGAUCCAGGGAGCUUCUGUCCCACAGCCCCUGGUUCUUGCCCAUGGGAAGGGCUGGGCUGGGCUCUGCCAGCCUGGGGAUGGAUCAGGCCAAGGUCUGAGCUUGGGAAGCUGAGGUGCCAGCCAGCUGCAGGCUCUCCUGGCGACAGGGACAAGGACAAGGGCAGGGAGGGACAGCAGGAGCUUUCACAUGCUCCUCAUCCUCUGGGGCAGGGAGGGAUGUGCUGCGUGGCACCCGCAGCCCCACAUUGUCCUGGUCACCCCCAUCUCCCUCACCCUCUUGCCCAGCUCUGCACCAGCUCUCUGGGGGGAUACAUUUGGGAUUUAGAGGCAGCCCCACCACAUCCCCAUCCCCUGUCCCUGUCUGUCCCUGCAGAGCUGGGGCCAGGCUGAGCUUCCCAGCCCAGGCCUGUGCUGCCAUCAUGCUGGGGACACGGGCACACAGCUCUGGAGGCGGGGGACACCUCUUGGCCCGCACCCAGACACAGCCUGGCCGUGUCCCCACCCACGGCCACGCAGCGAGGGGGACCCCGGACACGUCCAUGUCUCCCAGCCCAAGGUGCAGUGCUGCAUCUCUGGUCAAUUGGGAGUCUGAGAUGAAGCACUGUAGCUCGGGAAGGGAGGAACUGCGCACCCUGGGGACCCCCCCCGCUGGGACAAGUGACACAAGGAGAGCUCGGCCCUGGCUGCAGGAAAAGGGCUCAUCCCAAAGCUCCCUGCAGAGAUCCAGCAGGGAUAGGAGGGUGGGGAGGUUUUUCCUUGCAGCAGAGGGACCCCUGUGUCUGCUGGGGACCCCCAGCCCGGCUCUGGGCACCAGUGGGAGGGGUCCCACAGAGAUGGGAGGGGUGGGAGCUCCCCCCAUCAGCCACACACGGAGCCGGGAGAGCGGCGAGGACGCGCCGGGCUGGCACAGAGCCCGGGUUGCCGUGUCCUCAGGGUCCAGUUUUCCCAGGAAUCCCUUAGGCACUAGGUUGGGGAUUCCUGGAAAUACUGUUCUUGGGGCCACGGCUCGGCGGCCCAUCCUGUGGGAGCCACAGCCUGCGGAAGAGCCGGGAAUGGAGGUACAGGGCCACGGGGAGGGGUGGGAGUGGGAGGGGAGCCCCUGGAGAUCCCACACAGGGGGUGAUGGAUGUCCCCGUGGGUCACCACUCACUGCCAGGGGAUGUGGCUGGUGGGUAGGUGGCCUCACACCCCUCCUGCCCUGCCCGGGCCACCCAGGGUCAAUAAAGGUCUCCAUUCCUGAG